AUUGAACGCUGGCGGCAGGCCUAACACAUGCAAGUCGAGCGAGUGGCGGACGGGUGAGUAAUGUCUGGGGAUCUGCCCGAUAGAGGGGGAUAACUACUGGAAACGGUGGCUAAUACCGCAUACUAUCGGAUGAACCCAUAUGGGAUUAGCUGGUGGGUGGGGUAACGGCUCACCAAGGCGACGAUCUCUAGCUGGUCUGAGAGGAUGACCAGCCACACUGGGACUGAGACACGGCCCAGACUCCUACGGGAGGCAGCAGUGGGGAAUAUUGCACAAUGGGCGCAAGCCUGAUGCAGCCAUGCCGCGUGUAUGAAGAAGGCCUUAGGGUUGUAAAGUACUUUCAGCGGGGAGGCGUUACCCGCAGAAGAAGCACCGGCUAACUCCGUGCCAGCAGCCGCGGUAAUUC
rnacentral:rRNA from 1 species